UCUCUUCUUUCUUCUUUCUUCUCAUUCGCAGUCCGUUGCUGUCGCCGACGCCGCCGCGGCUCUUGACUAGUAACCCGCUCUCUUCUACCAAACAACCAGUAUUCAUGCUUUGCUUCUUCUUCGAGCACACAGGAGGCAUGUAAUCUCUCCGGUGAACCACCUGCCUUGGCUUCCCCUAGGCACCAUGGCAGUCUAAUCCAGAGCGAGAGAGAGAGAA
ensembl:ncRNA C29E6.13 ncRNA